rnacentral:rRNA from 1 species
CAGCCGCCACGGGAACACGAAGGGUGCAAGCGUUACUCGGAAUUACUGGGCGUAAAGCGUGCGUAGGUGGUGGUUUAAGUCCGUUGUGAAAGCCCUGGGCUCAACCUGGGAAUUGCAGUGGAUACUGGGUCACUAGAGUGUGGUAGAGGAUAGUGGAAUUUCCGGUGUAGCAGUGAAAUGCGUAGAGAUCGGAAGGAACAUCUGUGGCGAAGGCGACUAUCUGGGCCAACACUGACACUGAGGCACGAAAGCGUGGGGAGCAAACAGGAUUAGAUACCCGUGUAGUCCCUGUCUCUUAUAC